UCGUGUUUGAUGUUUCAUCUGUGAUUGAGUUUGAUUUUUAUUCAUAAGUUUCUUAACUACUUUCUAACUCCCUUCUAAAUUGUGAAAUCGCUUCCAGAUUUCACCUUUCGACAUGUGAUUUUUUGUUUAAAUGCAUAACGCCAGAUUAUUAACCAUCUCAAUCGACUGAAUUCUUCUUCCAUAUCGAGUCUAUCAUCUUUCAAAGUCUCUGUUACCCAGAUUAUCAACCUCGUUUUCAAGAAUUUGUUUCAAAAGAGUUUCAUCACUGAAUCCCUGGUCAGAUCGUGGUGAACCUCCUCUGGUCACUUCAUGAAGAAUUUCCACCUUCCCUGAAGUGAGGUGCUCAGAAUGCUCCAGAUAAAGCCCCGGAAUAAACAGCUCACAAUAGGGCAGAAACAGCCCAGGCAUGUGGUAAGGUGCCUAACAUUAGGGUCCUCAACCUCUACAAGGAGAUAAUCAUGGGACCAGCAAGAGAAAAUGGGACUGUUCCUAUAGGGAUACGGAGACAUCCAUGUCCUGCAAACCGAUUGCCUGACAGCUGCUCUCAGAUAUCCUGUAACCAGUGCUGAGAGGUCAGUUGCUACUUUACUGGCACAGCGAAGCUUGGCUUCAACAUUGGAGCUGAACGCUGGG